AUCGUCGUCAUCAACCCAUAUUCGGCUCACUGCUGAGCUCGAGUCUCCUCUCAGAAUGAGAGGGGCAUAAGGAAUAUAUACCCUCAUCUAUUAUUCAUUUGGGAUAAGAAAUAAA